rnacentral:rRNA from 1 species
UACGUAGGGUGCAAGCGUUGUCCGGAAUUAUUGGGCGUAAAGAGCUCGUAGGCGGUCUGUCACGUCGGCUGUGAAAACCCGAGGCUCAACCUCGGGCCUGCAGUCGAUACGGGCAGGCUAGAGUGUGGUAGGGGAGAUCGGAAUUCCUGGUGUAGCGGUGAAAUGCGCAGAUAUCAGGAGGAACACCGGUGGCGAAGGCGGAUCUCUGGGCCAUUACUGACGCUGAGGAGCGAAAGCGUGGGGAGCGAACAGGA